rnacentral:rRNA from 1 species
AGAGUUUGAUCAUGGCUCAGGACGAACGCUGGCGGCGUGCCUAACACAUGCAAGUCGAGCGGAAAUAUUCUGAAGAGUAAUCGGAAGGAUAUUUUAGCGGCGGACGGGUGAGUAACACGUGGGCAACCUGCCCUGUACAGGGGGAUAACACUGGGAAACUAGUGCUAAUACCGCAUGAUACGCGAAGAUGGCAUCAUUUUUGCGUCAAAGGAGAAAUCCGGUACAGGAUGGGCCCGCGUCCGAUUAGCUAGUUGGUGAGGUAAUGGCUCACCAAGGCGACGAUCGGUAGCCGGAUUGAGAGGUUGAACGGCCACAUUGGGACUGAGACACGGCCCAGACUCCUACGGGAGGCAGCAGUGGGGAAUAUUGCACAAUGGGGGAAACCCUGAUGCAGCGACGCCGCGCGAAGGAAGAAGGUCUUCGGAUUGUAAACUUCUUUGAUUGGGGACGAAAUAUGACGGUACCCAAGGAACAAGCCACGGCUAACUACGUGCCAGCAGCCGCGGUAAUACGUAGGUGGCAAGCGUUGUCCGGAAUUACUGGGUGUAAAGGGCGUGUAGGCGGGAGUGUAAGUCAGAUGUGAAAACCCGGAGCUCAACUUCGGGAUUGCAUCUGAAACUAUGCUUCUUGAGUGCUGGAGAGGAAAGCGGAAUUCCUAGUGUAGCGGUGAAAUGCGUAGAUAUUAGGAGGAACACCAGUGGCGAAGGCGGCUUUCUGGACAGUAACUGACGCUGAGGCGCGAAAGCGUGGGGAGCGAACAGGAUUAGAUACCCUGGUAGUCCACGCUGUAAACGAUGGAUACUAGGUGUAGGAGGUAUCGACCCCUUCUGUGCCGGAGUUAACACAAUAAGUAUCCCACCUGGGGAGUACGGCCGCAAGGUUGAAACUCAAAUGAAUUGACGG